rnacentral:lncRNA from 1 species
GGGCAAGGGAAAUCCCGAGUACCCGGGAUCAAUUUCCCUCUGGGAGUCCCUGUCGCAUACGGCUCCAGGAGGAAGAAGAUAGGGACAUCACUGCCAUGCGGGGCCAGCUUGCCAGCGACAGAAGAGAGGGGGAGAGAAGGGCAGCAUGUGCCUAGUCGAGCGGGCCGGUGGCUGGGCUGAGGAUAGAGGGCGCGCGGCUUUGGCCGAAGAGGAGAGAGCAAAUCGUGGGCUGGCUGCUGCUAGGCCUGCGGGAGAGAGGAGAGCGCCGAAUUGGGCUAGAAGUAGGUGGGGGAAUGUUUUCCCUUUUCUUUUAUUUUGUUUUUUUCAAAGCCUUUUCAAAAUAGUUUAAAAUCAGUUUGGAAGUAUUUUGAUUUUGCCCAAAAUCAAACAAUACAAUGAAAAUAAAUGCUC